rnacentral:rRNA from 1 species
AUUGAACGCUGGCGGCAUGCUUUACACAUGCAAGUCGAACGGCAGCGCGGGCUUCGGCCUGGCGGCGAGUGGCGAACGGGUGAGUAAUACAUCGGAACGUGCCCAGUAGUGGGGGAUAGCUCGGCGAAAGCCGGAUUAAUACCGCAUACGACCUGAGGGUGAAAGCGGGGGAUCUUCGGACCUCGCGCUAUUGGAGCGGCCGAUGGCAGAUUAGCUAGUUGGUGGGGUAAAGGCCUACCAAGGCGACGAUCUGUAGCUGGUCUGAGAGGACGACCAGCCACACUGGGACUGAGACACGGCCCAGACUCCUACGGGAGGCAGCAGUGGGGAAUUUUGGACAAUGGGCGAAAGCCUGAUCCAGCAAUGCCGCGUGUGUGAUGAAGGCCUUCGGGUUGUAAAGCACUUUUGGCGGGAACGAAAGGGACUGUGCCAAUACCACGGUUCGAUGACGGUACCCGCAGAAUAAGCACCGGCUAACUACGU